UACGUAGGGCGCGAGCGUUGUCCGGAAUUAUUGGGCGUAAAGAGCUCGUAGGCGGCCUGUCGCGUCAAUUGUGAAAACCCGGGGCUCAACUCCGGGCCUGCAGCCGAUACGGGCAGACUAGAGUUCGGCAGGGGAGACUGGAAUUCCUGGUGUAGCGGUGAAAUGCGCAGAUAUCAGGAGGAACACCGGUGGCGAAGGCGGCAUCCUGGACCGGUAUUGACGCUGAGGCGCGAAAGCUAGGGGAGCAAACGGG
rnacentral:rRNA from 1 species